rnacentral:lncRNA from 1 species
AGUAACCCAAAUUCUGAGGCAUUCUAGGAUAAUUAGAAGCAGAUACAAUUUCACUGAUGAGAAAAGCCAACCAGUUGAAAGGAUUUGAGAUUUAACACAGAGAAACUAUGAACUAUGUGCUUGCCUUGAAAAUAAAUGCCCAGAUUUUCUGACUUCCAUAGGAACACAGGAAAAUGAAUAGGACUUGGGGAUAAAUAGAGUCCCCAUAAGCAUAAAGAAGAGAGCAGCCUCUGCACACUAGCUCCUCAAGCUCCUUAGUACUAGAUGCUUUCAUGAUCUUCCAUCAGAAGACAGAGAAGCCAAGAAAGUGGAGCUGUAUGUCAGUUAAUUUCAGGUGACUGCUGCAAACAGGUAUACUGGAUAGAGGACAUAUUCUGACCAUAAAUGCCACCAAGGAUGAAGGAUCCUAUUGAAAUAGCCACUUAGAGGUCUAUUCUGGUUUCACUCGGUUAUUUAUUUUUCUGACAUAAUGACUAAAAGGUGUUUUGUUAUACUGAACUCUUUGCAGUAAUUUAGAUUUAAAAGCAUAGUCCUGGAGGUGAGAGCUCAGUUUUACUGCAUAAUGAAAGAUUAAGAAUUUAGUAUGGGAGAGGUGGGUAUAGAGAAGGAACAACUCAGAAACUAGAGAAGCAGGCAAAAGAAGCCAGCAACUGACAAGACUGAGGUGGGGCUGCACCUUGGCUGGCACAAUGGUGAGGGAGCCUGGGGCUUAGGAGGUUGAAAGGGCAGUAAAGGAAAAGGUCUUCUGAUAUUUAAGUUUUUUUUUUUUUCCUACUGGUAUAUAAAUUCACUCCAUGUCCUGAAACAUUCAGCAAAAUCUUCUACUUUCUUGAGUGCUUGAUUUGUC